rnacentral:tRNA from 4 species
GGAAGGGUGGCAGAGUGGUCGAUUGCACCGGUCUUGAAAACCGGCAACGGGCAACCGUUCGUGGGUUCGAAUCCCACCCCUUCCGCCA